rnacentral:tRNA from 1 species
GCAAGCGUAGCUUAAUACAAAGCAUAGCACUGAAGAUGCUAAGAUGAGUCCUAAAAAACUCCGCAUGCA